rnacentral:lncRNA from 1 species
GGUGUACCUUUUAGAAAAUUAUAGAUAAUUAUAUUUUAUUUAUAAAAAAUUUCAAGAAAUUAUAGAAAGUUUUCAUUUGAAUACAUAUUGGAAUUCUACGGGGGCGAUACUUUAGGAGUAAUUUCUUAAAUCUCUCCCAAUUUUCAGAGAGAGUCUUAUCUAUUGUCUACUUGAAAGAUAUGAUGUCAUUCCUAUUUCUUUCAUUAAGGAUGGGAGGGAAAUAUUUCACCAAGAACUUUUAUGUCUUCUGCCAUGAACUCGCGAAGUUGGGUUCCAGAAAAUUCAGAUACACCUUGUCUCUAUCUCUUUGUGAAUAAGGGAACAAUCUUAACUUGAAGACAUCAUUUUCCGCUCUUGGAAUUUUGAAAUUGCUAUCAACUUGAGAAAAUUGCCGCAAGUGAAAGUGGGGAUCUUCAGUUGGUGUUGCACUUUAUUGGCCUAUAGCUUGAAGCACAUGGAACAUCAUAGGCUUAAACUCAAAUUGGAGUCAAGAAUGACAUACUCUCAAUUGGUCUUUCCUUGUAGUUGUCCAUGCCAAUAACAUCAACAGUAGGAUCAUCAUAACCAUGGAUUGAUAUUCAGAAUCGUGUACCAACUUGUGGUAUGCUUAAUCAAGUAUAGGGAAAGUUUGGAGUCUUUUUAAUGCUCUCCUAUUUUAGUGAUGCUAUGCUACAACAAUAAUGGGGAAGACAAAAUACUUUCAGCUUGAUUUUCUCAAGCUAAUCCUAUAUCUAGUUUCCCUUAGGUAUAACUAUGUUUCUUCAAAAGAAUCUAUUUACCCUAAGGGUAUAAAUAAUUAUAUUUAUUUAUUUAACGUUCAUUAAUCUUUCAAUUAAUUAACUACAUCCAAAUAGUUCAAAUAAAUCCACUUAAUGACAAUUUCUUUAGUAGAAGCUAAAACAAGUAUUAGGUGAUCAAACUAAAAUAGGAGAUAAUAGUAAAACAGUUUGAAGCAACUAUCACAAACAUGUAUAAUAUAACCACCAAAAUAAUACUUAAGAAAUCAUAUCAUUUUCCUAUAAUAGAGAUUACACAUGUAGUUACAUAAAUGAAGAUUACUUCAAGAGUUGAAGACUCCACUUGAUGACUUGAGCUGCUAAAUUGUCUCCUUAAAUCGUUGGUUGAAGGUUUGCUUCAUGGAUCUCGCCUAAAUGGUGGGAAUGAGGUGAAUAUGGAAUGGUAGGUAGGGUUGAUG